rnacentral:rRNA from 1 species
AUUGAACGCUGGCGGCAUGCCUUACACAUGCAAGUCGAACGGCAGCACGGGAGCAAUCCUGGUGGCGAGUGGCGAACGGGUGAGUAAUAUAUCGGAACGUGCCCAGUCGUGGGGGAUAACGCAGCGAAAGCUGUGCUAAUACCGCAUACGAUCUCUGGAUGAAAGCGGGGGACUCGCAAGAGCCUCGCGCGAUUGGAGCGGCCGAUAUCAGAUUAGCUAGUUGGUGGGGUAAAAGCCCACCAAGGCGACGAUCUGUAGCUGGUCUGAGAGGACGACCAGCCACACUGGAACUGAGACACGGUCCAGACUCCUACGGGAGGCAGCAGUGGGGAAUUUUGGACAAUGGGCGCAAGCCUGAUCCAGCAAUGCCGCGUGCAGGACGAAGGCCUUCGGUUGUAAACUGCUUUUGUACGGUACGAAACGGUCCUUUCUAUAAAGAGGGCGUAAUGACGGUACCGUAAGAAUAAGACACCGGCUAACUAC